UGCCCUGCGCGGCGGCACCCCCAGACUCAGCCGCCUCCAGGCGCCCACGAGCCCGCAGGCGGUAGCCAUCUUGGAAAGGACACAGGCAGACUGCCCCCGCCCCGCCUGCGGACGUAAGGCCCGUGGCACGACGGGAGAGGUCUUGGAAAAGGGUCAGGACAAAUAUCUACACCCUGUGCAUAUGGCAAGGAAAUCUGUGAUACAGUUGCUGGAAUCCACCUGUUAAGAGUGGCAAUGAGAUGAUGUAACAAACCAUGCUCCCUCUCGCUGUAAGACAGUAAAGAACUCCUGGCUAGACAAUGACAUUACAGUACUGUGUCACUCCAUAACUUGUGACAGUGCAUGGACCAUGAGACGGACCUGCAGGGACUCCGGCUGAUUUCUUCAUUGGCGGUUCUUCCCUUCUCGGAUAAUCAGAAGGCAGGUUUAAGAAGAACACCUUGCACCUGGAGUGGAAGGUGGUGAAGUUUGUGACGGUCCUUUGUUCCUAUGGAUAUUCUUGCCACCGCCUCAAACCCACCCCCAAGAAAGUUCUGUCUCCUGCACAGAUGAGCUAUCUGCUUACGUGAUUACUUCAGUGGGAGCCGAGGAUUCUCAGUACCUCAUGGGAUGGCAGAAUGUAACUACCAGCAUGAGAUUUGGGAGCUUGUAGGUAGAGGUACAUCUUCAGCUCCUGUGAAUGGGCUCAGCAUCAGAGAGGAAGAGCUGGGAAUCUCCACUCUUUACCCACAAUGUCUGGGAUAGGCAACAAGCGGGCGGUGGCAGAGCCUGGCCCCUCUGGGCCCCCAGAGAAAAGGCAGGGGUCGAAGACUCAGAACCACAGUGGAGACCAUUAAGUUAGGAGGUGUUUCCUCAACAGAGGAGCUGGACAUCCGGACGCUGCAGACUAAGAACCGAAAGCUGGCAGAUGUUGGACCAGCGGCAGGCCAUUGAGUAUGAGCUGCGUGAGCAUAUUGAGAAGCUGGAGCGGCGGCGCCACCGAUGAUGCCUCUCUGCUGAUUGUGAACCGCUAUUGGAGUCAGGUCCGCAGCAUGCUCAGUCGAGCUGUCUUGUUCUCUCUGUGGUCUUGUCUCAUUUACUCUGAUGGUGAUGAAGUUAUGUAUCUUCUCAUUUGUCUCUUCUUCCAGUUUGAUGAAAAUAUCCGCAUCAUUCUUAACGCUAUGACCUGGAGCAAGGUCUUGGAGACCUUCUGUCUGAACGAAAAGCCUUGGUGUGCCAGAACCAGAACCAACUCAGACAGCAAUCAGGAACGU